CUCUGUCUCUCAAAAAUAAACAAACAUUAAUAAAAAUAAUUAAAAAUAAAAGUUAGUAAUUUUUUUCAAGCCUCACAAGGAAGCCUGUGAAUGUAAAACUCGAAAGGUCUUUGGGAAGGAGAAAGAUCUGAAUUCAAAGUAGGACUGUUCUUUAGGGUGACUCACGGGAUUAGCCUGGGUUGAAUUUGUGUCCCACCUCCCUCCCAUCUUCUAGCCACCUUGUCAUUUUUUUCUCUCGCACACUGACAUGUGAACACAACAGAAGCUAACUAGAGAUUUAACUUUCAUUUUGGUAUAAAACAGACUGGUGCAGACAGGCCUCAAGAUAACAGGAUUGGGGAGAAAGACACUACACUACGUCAUGUAAACAAGAAUGUUGCCAGCGCGGCUCCAGUUUGACACCUCUCAGGCCGUCAGUUUGAUGCCAGGCUUUCAUAAUUUGUAGAAACAGUAAAGGCAGUCAUUUUAGUGAAUGGCUUUGCUUGAAUUUUUGUUGAUACAUGCAUUUGUAGAGCAUAGUAAACGCCUUUAUUCUGGUGCCUAUGUGCACUUCCCUCAAAGACCGGAGGGAAGAGCAUCGGGGAUGAUGGGAAGGAAAUGGCAGUAAUUGGGUGAACAAACAGAUGGAGGAGGGACGGCGAGUGCAUUUGGUGUUUUAGGUGGCCCCGAGGAGUAUUGAAUUUCUUAUUCUUCUCCCCUACAGCCCCAAUACAAGCAGGCAGCUUACACGGCUAAGGUUUCAUUAUCUAAUCCAUCACAGAUCAGCUUGAAUAAACCCAUUGGCUGGUGCUGAUCUAGUUAGGAGGGCAGUGCAAAGCUGCUUGAGCCAGGAUUGGGGCAAAUCGGAUCAGAACAGCCAUGUGAAUCUUGGGCAUAUUUCUUUAAUUUGGGUGGGUAAAGUAGUUUGGGAAAUACUUGAGAGAGCGAGAGAGAGAGAGCGCGAGCGCGCGCGCACGAGUGAGCAAUCAGCCAUGAGUUUUUUUCAGAUAUUGUAGGGACUCUAAGGGGCAAGUGUACGGACGAUUUGAUCUAUUUCUCUGGAGUGUAGGCAGGUUGCUUUGAUUUUUUGAGUCUGAACAUUUUUGGGUCACUAAUGCUCAGUAGUAAUCUUUUGUAGCAGCAUUUGGAGAUUCCAGUUGCGAUCACUUAAUUAUGACUACUCUGAGCGAACCCUUAAUCCGAGACUGUACGAUAUGGGUCCUCUCUCAGUUUAAAAGGGGAGAUACCGUGGCUAUCACUAUUGUGAUGACCAACCUUAAUGUCUAUAAUUACGUUUGUUAUCCACGUAUAGUUGAAGUAUGGGGUAGUAAAAGAAACACGAUUUAGAAUUUCUCAUUUUGGGUUUGACUCCUGGCUUUUCCACUUAGCAGAUGAAUGACCUUUGGCAAGAUGUUUAGUGUCUGAGCUCCUGAUUACACAUCUGUGACCUGGGAAAAUUAAUACAUACUCUAAUGAGCGGCAGUAAUGAGUAACUGAGAUGAUUUAGAGUGCCUAUCAUGGAGCCCAGCAGUAACUGUUUAUUCCCUGCCUCCCUCAUAGCCUGCUGCACGACACUCCUUGAGUUCCUGCUUAGUGCUUGAUCAGCACGGAGUGGUUAAUGCGUUUCCGAUUGAUUAAGUGUCAGAGUUGGGGACUACUAGAGAUGAGCAGUGUGUUAAACUGAAUUGCUGCUUGUCAUGUGGGUGGAGGACGUGAAUGGGCCUGGUUGGUUAUCACAGGCUCUCUGGUCAGAGGAGAAGGAGACAUUUGCUUCUUUGCUAAGCACUAACAGGGCUGCUGAGGUAUCACACUGCCUGCAUUGAGCAGUGGACGUUUCAUGGAACCUGUGAGGUCCCGACUGGGAAUGUGCGUGACAGAUAUGCUGGCCGUUUGGGUGGUGAAAAUAUCGUUUGUGUUUCCAGUGUUGUAAGGUUUGCUGGUCAGAUAUAUGACCUCAAAUGGAUGGUGCUUUUUGUUCUUAUUCUGGUUUGUGGAAAUUGAGAUGGAAAGCCUUUGUCUCUUGUGGUGUCUCUCUGGCCUCUUCAAGCCUGCCCUGCAGACUAUGAAGAGUCAUCCACCUAAAAGAGCUUAACAACACUUGAUGGUUUGUCUUUGUCUUCUGGGUAGAGUCCGGUCUCUCAUUUGGCCUCCUCCUGGCCUGACUUGUGCUGGUCUUUGUAAACUCAUCUCAUUUUUACAGUCUACCUCUUGAGUCUUGUUAGGGGGCUAAUAGUUUCCUGAGCGCCAUGCGGGCUCAUUCGUUCUUCUGUGCUUUUGUUUCCGGUUUUCCCGGCUGAAAUUCCUGCCUCGACAUCUCUCUCUCAUCUGUAAGGCUCAGUCUUCAAGAAUCAGCUGGGCUGUGGACUCCCCCUGGAUGCUUUUUGUGUCUGCUCCCAUCCCUCCCACAUUCCUGCUGGUUUCUAAAACACUGUGUCCAUAGCUGUGUGUUAGGAUUUUUUUGCUUUACCAUUUGUUUAAAUGUCUGCUCCUGCACCCCUUCCCAGACUGUGAGACCAGGGGAUCCUUUGGGAUCCCUAGGAUUUAGCACUGGGCCUGGGCCCCAGUAGUCAAGAAACUGUGGUUCUUGGUGAAUUGAACCUUGUCUCUCUGCUCCUCAGUGGGGCCUGCAGAUGGCUUUAAUUGUUUCUCCAGAUUUUCCCUGGGGGGCCUGGCCCUCGGUCUGCUUUCCUGAUCCUGUGAAGACUGGGUGUUGUGGGAUUUGUGAAUGGUACCUGAUCUUUCCAUUGAUAUCGGGGUUAAAGGUGAGAAAGGGUCUUUGAAAACAGAAGCUGGGGUGGAAUUUAACUGUUGAAUGUGUUGGGUGGGCAUGGCAACCAAAUGUUUAGUUUCCUGUGCUCAGAUAUUAAUUGAGUGCACGUGUGUAUGUGUAAAAAGCGCCUUUGUGAUGGUGUGGUGAAUGAAAAGAGAGGAACCGCACAAGCAAGGGGCAAUUAGAGCUAACCUGUUCCAGUUCAUUGGAGCAGUCUGUUGAUCUGCCUUUUACAGUGCUGCCGAGAGAUUCUGGAGUGUUGCAGUUCGAGGAUAUUACCACCAUUUGGGACUAGGCCCAUUUGAUCAACUUUCUCUUCUCAACCAAUGAAUUUCAUGAGCUGUUACAGCUUCUUUUGUGGAUACGGGAAAAAUACCAAGCUGAGACACCUCACAGAAUACAUGCUGUUUUUUCAGAUCACGCACUGGAUAUGCUUGCAAAUGAGGAAGCUUGAUACAGUUCUUUUCAACCGCAGCCUUGGAAAUAGAUUCAUAGAUGUAUUUUACAGGAAUCCUCUCUCCUUGGCCCUUGUUCUCCCCGCCUCCUUGCCUCUCGGCUAAUGAUUUGUGCUCCUAUAUAAUCCUCGUCUGUUUUCCAGCCUCGAGACUUCCCUUACUAGUUUAGUUGGGGCCCCUUUAAAGGCGAUUGGGUAUAUAUACUUUGUAGUGCCUCUGGCUUCUGGCUUCUGCUUCAAUAAAGCAGGUUCUAAGAAGGGAAUGAGAGAGAGAGAGCAGCCAGUAAUAUCACUUGCUUCUGACGUGUCCUGUACAUACGUGGCAUCUAGAAAUUUUCAGCUGAGGAUUCAAGGCACAGGACACAUGGUAAAUACCACUUCUGAAGCAGAUGACAAUUUUGAGUUGCCAAAUGAUAAUGGUUGAGUAACUGCUUAAAAACCUAUUUUCCCAAGGGUGGAAACGGCCUUUGAAGUUUAGGUUUCCACAAGGGUGUGUUCAACCAUAAUACUUGGGGUUUUUUUUUGGGACCUGAGUCCUCAGAUAAUACCUUGGUAUGUGGGAUUUUUCCCAUGCGAAGGCUGGCUCCUUGGUUUCUCCUUUGCUGAGGAAAAGAGAUUUUGCACUGAGUAUUGGAUGUUUUAUUCCAGGCAUGUGGUUUCUGAGGAGGCAUACUGUUUAUUUUUCUUUUUUGGCUGAAUCAAUUUUGUUGAAUCUUAAUUUUUUUUUUAUUAAAAAAUUUUUUUUUAACAUUUAUUCUUGAGAGACAGAGAGAGAGAGACAGAGCGUGAGUGGAGGAGGGGCAGAGAGAGAAGGAGACACAGAGUCUGAAGCAGGCUCUAGGCUCUGAGCUGUCAGCACAGAGCUGGAUGCGGGGCUCGAACCCACGAACCGUGAGAUCAUGACUGGAACUGUAGUCGGACACUUAUCCAACUGAGCCACCCAGGCGCCCCAGAUAAGUUUAUGUAUUUAUUUUUGAGAGAGAAUGCAUGCGUGGGAAGGGCAGAGAGAGAGAGAGAGAGAGAGAGAGAGAGAGAGAGAGGAGACAGAAUCCCAAGCAGGCUCUGCAUUGCUAGUGUGGAGCCCAUUGCUGGCCUCAAACUCCUGAGCCGUGAGAUCAUGACCCAAGCCAAAAUCAAGAGUUGGACAUUCAAGUGACUGAGCCACCCAGGCGCCCCUGUGGGAUCAUCAUUGUAAAUGUCACAGCAAAGCAUGAUUUAUCAUGAAGGAUGGGCAGGGGGACUCUCUCAGUGAUGGGGCUUUGUGUGGGCAGGGCAGACACGGUACCGGUCCAAUUAGAGGAACUGCAGACCUGGUCUGGGGGCACUGUGGGGGCUGGAACAUGGGCUGUGGCUCCUGCUUCUUUUGGAACACUUUUGGAACAGAGACUCAUGGGAAGUUCUUCCAUUUGCUUUAGUUUGAGCAGCUUUUUCCUCUGCACAUUGGCAGCUGUUUGGAGGAGGGGGCGUUAAUUGCUGUCCGCCAGAGUGAUUUCCAAAACAGACCUAUAUAGAUUUCAUUUAGGGAUUUAUUUCAGGGGUAGGUGGUUUGUCCUGAGUCAGGAGGACUUUGGUUGCAUUUUCCUGGAAGUUGGUGGGCUUCCAUGAGCCUGCUCUAUUUAUCUUGGACCGUUAGGCGAGUAGAAAAGCAGCUGCAUAGUUAGCCCUUGUGUGGAGCUUAGUUUCAUAGGUCAUUCUCUCUUGGGGAUUUUUAUACGGUCACAUUUACAGCCUGAAGUUUUUUUUUCCUUUUCUUCCCUUCUGCAGCUCAGUGCUCUGCAGAAAUUCUGAGGAGGGUGGAUAAUAAUUUUGGGUAAAAAGCAAGAAUUGUUUAGCUUCCUCCCUUCUUUUUGUUUCUUUACUAGCUCCCCCUCCCGCCGCCCAUCCUUUGCAAAAGAGUCUGCAAAUGAGGUCGCUUAUCCCUUAAUCGGACUGUCUUGUCCCCUAACACUCUGAAUAUGUGGCUUUGACAGCUUUCACCUGCUAUUUCAAAGCAAAAACUGGCAAAAUUGGAAGAUGUUUUGUGGUGGCUCCCAGCAUCCACAAAGCGUAACUCAUUGGUUUGCACCUCAUACAAACUUGCAGGAGUACCGUCACCGUCAAUAGCUGGCACAAUGGGUUUGAGGACUUUGUUGGAACUUCAGGAAGUCUCCACAAUGGCUGCUUCUCACAGUGGGAGCUUUGGCAGGGCUUACCGGGAGUUGGUAGUGCUUGUUUUGAAAGUAGGAGUCUGGUCCUAUCCCGCUGGAUGUCUCUGUGAGAAGGGCAGGGGCAGAUUUGUUUGAAAAAGGGAGAGUGGGGCUCUGUAGCUGUCACUUAUGUGGUCCAUUUUAUAGAUGUCUGUGUUUGCUCCACUGACACACGAAUUUUACUGCAUGUUUUGUAUGUUGUAUUCAUACUUGAAGCCAUAGUCUGACUUGUGACUUUCAAGAAGUUGAUUUGACUAAUUUUGGUAUUAAAAAAAUUUUUUUUAAUGUUUAUUUUUGAGGGGGGGGGGAGGGGCAGAGAGAGAGAGGGAGACAUAGAAUCUGAAGCAGGCUCCAGGCUCUGAGCUGUCAGCCCAGAGCCCGAUGACAAUGACGGGGGCCUUGAACCCACAAACGGUGAGAUCAUGACCUGAACCAAAGUUGGACGCUUAACCGACUGAGCCACCCAGGUGUCCCCGAUUUGGCUAAUUUUGAUAGCAUCUCGGACUUUAAAGUGAAGGUGGUCAUAUUUAAAAGUUCCAUGUGGGGGCUUAGAAGUUACUAUUUCUGUUGGCUCUUCCCUCCCCAUCCCCAGCUGCUGCUGCUUUUAUGCAUCAUAGACACUUUUUUUUUUUGUUUUGUUUUUGUUCCUCUGCUUGGUGUUAUAGGUCUCUCGCCUCUUGUUGUGAUUCCAAAUAGAUCUUUUUGCUGCAACAUUGUGGCUUUGAUCUGGCUGUUUUACCGUGUUGUAGAUCAAUUGGUUAACUUUGGCAUUUUGCAUACAUACAACAGAAAUCUUUUAGAAAGGUGCUUUUCACUGACCAUUAGUGAUUUUUGUCAGCUGUGUAAAAAUGCUGUGAUUAACAGAUACACGUGUAUCUGUGUGCUUGUGUGCUUUUCCUUUAUGCUUACUUUACAUUUCUGUUUCUCUCUCUAGGAGUGGUUGGGACUGAGUGCUAUCCGGUAGGCUUUGCUUUUUAAUCCUGGCAAGCCCGUCUCACGAAACGUUUGCAUUUGAUUUUCUUGGGCUGUGUGGGGAUCAUUUACCCCUAUUGGAUUUUAGCUUCACUGUGGAUUCUUUUUUGCAGUGUUACUUUUAGGCAAAUAGUAAAUACUUGUUUGGUUUCACAGUAUCCCAGAGUUUGAAGAAAUCCACAAAAUUUGUCACACAUACUUUGUUUAAAAAAAAAAAAAAAGUAUCAAUUCUGAUACAAGAAAAAAUACCUCACUGGUCCAGCAUCCUGUUUAGGCAAGGAAAUUGUCUAAUUCAGAGUAUUCCAAGCUGUUUUCCAUUUAUUGCUCUUUGAGACAUGGUAAGAGGUAUCAUUCUUCUGAGAACAGAAAAAUCAAAUAACUUUGGACUAGCGUUAAGCAAAAUUUGAACUAUUGCAUUUUACAUUUCAUAAGCAGAUGUAACUCUCAAUUUAUAAAAAUGCACUUAAUGAAGUAUCUCUUUCUCCGCCGGGUUCCCCAAGUACUCCGUACCCCUUCACUAAACCUCUAAUCCCCGACGUUCAUCACUUGCAUUAUUCCUCUCCUUUUUUCCCCCCAGAUGUUAGCAAACUCUACACGCUUUUCCAUGCUACUGUUUUCAAUGACUAUAUCAGAAGUUAAUUUUUUUUAAAGAUUCCUUUAUUUUUAAGUAAUCUCUACACCCAAUGUGGCUUGAACUCACAGCCCCAAGAGCAAGAGUUGCAUGCUCUACCAGCUGAGUAUGGCUCUACCAGCCAGGUGCUCUAAGGUUACAUUUUUUUUUCUUUUUUAAAUUUCAUUAUUUUGAGAGAGAGACCAAGAGAGAACGCAUAUGUGAGCAGGGGAGAGGAAGAGAGGGAAGGAGAGAGAGCAUCCCAGCUCUGGGCUCUAUCUCGUGAACUGCAAGAUCAUGACCUGAGCCGAAAUCAAGAUUUGGAUGCUUAACCGAUUGAGCUAGCCAGGCACCCCUAUUUUUUGUUUGUUUGUUUAAUGUAAACGAGGUCUACUAAUGUUUUCGUGAAUGGGUUCUGUGUAUGUGUGUGUGUGUGUGUGGGUGGGUGUGUGUGUGAGUGUGAGUGAUGCUUUGAAAAGUUUUUCCCACUCCCAAGAUUAUUAAAAGUAGAGUGGGCUUGCAGAACGACAGAGCUGAGUUGGAGCCCUAGCUUUUCCAUAUCACAGCUGUAUGAUAUUGGCUAAAUGACUUAACCUUUUCUUCCCUUGUGAAAUAUACUAUAGGAUUAGUGUAAGAAUGGAAAGAGGUAAUAUACAUCAUAUGCUUUUUAGUUCAGGGCCUGACACAUAAUAGGUAUUAUGUAAUAGCCAUUUUUAUUAUAAUUACCAAGCCCUAUUUUCUUGUACCCCAGUUGUGUUUCGACUUUCUUAAAAAUCUUUAAAAAGAUGUUUAUUUGUUUCUGAGAGAGAAAGAGACCAUGCACACCAGCGGGGGUGGGGCAGAGUGAGAGGAGGACAGAGGAUCUGAAGCGGGCUCUGUGCUGAUGGCAGAGAGCACGGUGCGGGGCUCGAACUCAUGGACCGUGAGACCAUGACCGGACCCGAAGCUGGAUGCUUAACCAACUGACCCACCCCGGUGCCCCUGUCUUUUGACUUCUUUAAAGGUCUCUUAAUCUUUGUAUCCUUGGCUUCUACAUAAGUGUCUGAGAGAUACUGUAAUAAGAACCUGGUAAACGUUUGUUGAAAAAAAUCAGCCGUUAUGUGACUUGUUUGUAAAAAUCUCUGUAAUAAUUUUGUUGCUACAAAAUUACUGCCACAACAACCCCACAAGAUAGGUGGUUCUUUUUCCUAUUUUUCAGACGGUAAAAAUACACUUCUCUAAGCCUCAGGACUAGGAAGCAACAAAACUGGUGCUUCUACCCGAUCUUGUGGCUCUUUAUUCAGUGCCUUUUCCUUUGGGUCUCGUGCCCCUCAGGCCAAAGGGUAUGACUGAGAAGGAAUGGAGUGAAUAGCGAACGUGAACUUCACGUGACAUAUAUUUACUAUUGAAAACGUUUUGUCAGGGCACCUGGCUGGCGCAGUCAUUUACGCUCAGGUCACGAUCUCACACUUCGUGAAUUCAGACCCAGAGACGGGCUCUCUGCUGUCCGCACAGGGCUGGCUUCAGAUCCUCGGUGCCCCCCUCUCGCUGCCUCUUCCCCGCCGCGUGUACUUGCUGGCUUGCUUGUUCUUUCUCUCUCAAAAAUAAACAUUAAAAAAAAAGUUUUGUCCGUUACCUAACAGUUGAUUCAUGUAGAAGUCAACAGCGACCCCCAGUUUCUUUCUGCAAUAAUUUGGAUCUAGCCAGUGUUUUGAAUUGGGAUUUUGCUAAAAUUUAGUGUGUACUUUAUACGCCAAGCAUCGUAUUACAGACUUUAUGUGUUUAUUUCACUUUCCUGUAGUUCAUAUUUGGAGGGGUUAAAUGAGAUUAUUCGUUGCCGUAUGUAUGGUAGUUUGUUAUUGUUAUUAUUAUUUUUUUGCCUCAAAGUUUUCCCAUCUCUAAUUUUAUUAUUGAUCUGAUAGAUCAGCAGUAGAUAAAUCAAUGGAUUGGUAAUGGUGGGUAGUAUGAAAUGAUGAGAGCUGAAGUCAUCUAGAAGUUAUCUGGCCAGCUCCCUGCUUAAAUCAAGUAAGGGAGGUGAUGUACUCGUUUUCAGGGACAAGUUAUUUCGGUCUCCGAGAGCAGAUGGGAGGACAAGCAAUAAACUCAAACUUUUGGCUUUAGGUCUAAGUAGAAUCUUUCAUUUCUUAGUCUUUUUUACUAUUCUGGUAUUUUCUCUGAAAGUUUCUUAUAUGGGGUUCCCCCGUCCCCCUGCUUUUCAUUGAUUUUUUAAAGCAUGUGACAUACUCACAUGGUGAAUGGUUCAAAAUACGCAAAAGAGUAAAAAGUCUCUGCCUUCUCCCAACUUUCUAGUUUUCUCCUUGGAGGUAACCAGAAUGGUUAGUUGUCUGGAUAUCCUUCCACAGAUCGUAGUUACAUAAUAUUUUCUCUACCUCCUUCUAAAAAAAAAAGCUCAGAUGGUGAUAUUAAUAUGCAUACUAUCUGUAUAUACUACAUGUAUUUGGCUUUUUUUCCUGUCUCUCUUUGGAAAUCAUAGCAGUGUGUAGAUAUUUUUUGUUAGAUUUCUGCAGUUAGGAUUAUUCUCUUGUGGGCUGCUGAGAUAACUAUACCUAAACGUCUCUGGUAAGGAUGACUCUGAUUAGUACAGGAUCUCAUAAAAUGUGAGUCUGUUUCAUGGAAUCACAGGGUCAGAGACUUACUCUUUUUUUUUUUUUUUUUUUAACAUUUCAUGUUUUUGUUUUCGGAGACCUGAUCUGCAUCUGUGUUCUUUCACUUGAAUACCCUACAAGUCCCUGGCCGAUGAUAGCAUUUUAAAGAUGUUUGAGUAAAAGGUAGGCCUCCUCAGCUCUCCACCUGCUCCAGUCAGCUGCUCCUGAUCCCGUCUUUUUACACCCUAGAGGCCCUUUUUGGGUCAGAUACCCCAUUUGUCAUUGAGUUAGUAAUGAUACUCAGGAUCUGCCUUGAGUCAUUGCACACAGAAUCUAACUGCAGUGUGAUUUUAUUCAGUGUGACAUCUUCUGUACCAGGCAUAUCCAAAAUGUCCAGUUUAUCCUGAUUGAAUGUCAUUGCUGUCAGGAGGCUGGUCAGUGAGCCAAGUUUGGUAUGGAAUUGGGAGAAAGGGAGGUUUGGUUCCUGGUAGGUGUUUGUGUCUCAGCAGUCACAAUGGCCAUUAGUUUCACUUAGCCCCUGUGUUUGUGGAAAGCCUGGGAUUGAGUGAAUGCUCUUCAUCCUUAGGAGAUGGCCGCUCUGCCACUGAGACUUGACGGGAAGUAAAUAGAUAUGGUUCAACAAACAGAGUAUUUUUCUUUUGUUUACCAGACAGUGGAUUCUGAUUCAGACGUAGCAUCAAGGAUUUCACGCUUAGGCUUGACUCUAGCUCAGUUGACCUUUAGAGACUUCUGCACUUAAGGCUAGGAAUCUGUGCUUUUUUUCAGAGUUAGCUUCUGCGAUGGACCUUUGUCUCCACAAGAGUGUUAUUACAGAGGAGGUAGCGUUCUAGCUGUUGGGCGAAUGAGGCCAGUGGAGACGUGUGUUGCCCUCUAGGUGAAUGCUGACGUCCAGUACAUGGUGAUGCUGCUCUCACCGCACAAUCUUUAUGGUCCCAGGGCUUUGCAGCAAGUGAGUUAGGCCCACUCGGUCUCUGGCCCCACGCAGUGAAUGGAAGCAGGCAGGGCACCAGAUGCUGGGUUGUUGCCCCUCUCGCUUCUUCCUUCACACCUGGUAUAAGGUUUCCAGGCAUUUGUGCAACCUGAUAGCAGAAAGCGCCUGUCUUAGCAGUUGAGAGAUGGGUUGGCAGGUGGCUCAAGUUACUCCACGUUCCCGAUAAGAGCCACUGAUCCAUGCUGGUGGCUGCUGGGGGCGGGGGCGGGGGUGGGAGCUGUACUGCCGGUGCCCUGCCCAGCAGGAACGGUGGUGGGUCCGUCUGGUGUGUCAGGACUCCCGUGAAUGUGCCCAAAGCAGUUCGAGAGGUCUGGCCGGCAUAUCUAGGGAAGCAGCAAACUAUUGGAGAAGCAGAUCUUGCCUUAGAGGAGAUGGGUCUUAGGGAAUGGUGGCACACAGGGGCAGAAGAGGUACCAACCUUGAAAAUACGAAAUACAAGCCCAAGGAAUAGGAAUCACAUUUUAUUAUUGGAUGUCUUAAGUCGAAACCCAGCGAAAGACUUUAUUGAGUGAGGUUGUGCCAGGCACAGUGAUGGCUAAGACGUGAAUUUGCAGCGGGGAAGAGGAUGUGUGCACAGAUGCUUUUCACACCACGUGAUCAUUGCUCUGACAGAGGUAUACGCGGAGUAUGUGUCAAAGCCUAGUACUUGGUGGCAGGUACUCCAGAGCAGUUGUCACACCGUAUUAAAAUAUCGGGUUAAAAGGAGCCAUUCUGGUAUCAGACUGCUUAGGUUCCGACUGUCUCUAUGCCUACUUACCUGUGUGUCCCUUGAGCAAGUUACGUACCUCCUCAGUGCUUCAGUCGUUCGUCUGUGAAAUAGGAAAACUAGUUUGUACCUGGCGACAUUGUUGUGAAUAUCGAGGUAGUAUAGGGAAACGUGUUUGGAGGGGCGCCUGGCCCGUGGUAACCACCGUACGUGUUACCCGUUGUUACGGUGGUUGACGUAGCGCCAGGCAGGGGCACCAGAGACCAUGGCAGACACAUGCUGACCCGUGGCAGUGCGGAGUCCGGUAUUUAUUGUGUUCCCUGAAAGAUUGUUAGCAUUAACUAUGCCAGGUACUGUACGGAAGAAAAUGAGUGAAACGUUAACCAUCUGUGUCGCUGUGUACGAUACACGAUGUGAGUCAAGGUUUUGGAAAGGUGUGUAAAAAAUAUAUAUAUACUAACACGAGAAGCUUCAGUGUCCCAUGGCAGUUUCAGAGAGAGAAUCUUCCUGUUCGUUUGGGAGUCGCAUUGGAGGCCCUUCUGCUUUCUUGACACUCUGAAGAUAGGCUGUCUAUCUUUAAGGUGGGACAGUACUUUAUUUCGGACAAGUAUUUCUUGCUUUUUAAAAACCUCUAGGAGAAACCAUCAUUUGGUUUGGAGAAAAACCAUUUUAGAUCAGAAUCCACCCAUCUAUCCAUCCAUUCCUAUCCCCCUCCCCCUUACAAAGGGGAAACAUUACUAAUGUUUAAACCCCUUCCUCAUUCCUUAUAUUAAAAGUAAACCUCUCAUCGUGCAAAAGCCCCUAUUCUUUUUUUUUUUUUAAAGUGAUCUCUAUGUCCAACAUGGGGCUAGAACUCACCACCCUGAGAUCAAGAAGACUUGCACGCUCAACUGACUGAGCCAGCCAGGCGCCCCCAAAGCCCCUGCUCUUUUGCUUGGUCAUUCAUUCACCUCACAACAUGUGAGUGCUUACAACAUGCAAGACCCUGGGGGGUACAGAGUUAAUCAAAGGGAAGGUAUUAUGGAAUCUGUGAAGUUUAUUGUGGGAGGUGUCUGGAACAGCUGUCCGUUGGAAUAAAAGUUUGGUACACGAUGUAUCGCUAAGGGUGUAGGUAGAGAAAUGGGUCCUCAUGUUGCUGGUGUGGUGAAAAGCCGCAUACCCUCCAUGAAAAGCUGUCUAGCAAUAUCUACUGAACUGUAAAACGCACAUAUUCUUUGACUCAGCAGCUCCCUUUCUAGGAAUUCAUCCAGUAGAUAUUUCUGCAUCUGCGUGCAGGGAAAUACAUUACAACAUUACUUGAACUGGCAAAUGGUUGAACAAGGCAGAACACUCUUCGACAGGAAAUCAGUGAACUAAAAUAAGAUACAUUCACGGGAUGGAAUAUCACGCGGCCGUUACAAAGGGUCAGACAGCUCCAUAUGAACAAACAGAGAAGACUCUGAAAUACAUCAGGUGUGAAAAUUCACGGUGCAGAAAAGCGGACAGUUUGCUGCCGGUGUGUCACAGAGAAAAGCAUCCGUGCAGGUGCACACAGACUCUUUGCCAGGAAACACAAGAUUGCGGUCACAGGGGUUGCCUCUGGGGAGUGUUCCCGAGUGACGGAGAAGUAGGGGUAUAGGUGGAAGGCUUCUUGUCGUAGCCUUUUAAGUUUUGUGUCAUGUGCUUGUAUUGUUUAAAAAAAUCAAAGUAAUUUAUUAACGUGACGUAGGAAUAAGUACGGGAGCCAUCUUACUCAUCAUAAUGCUUGAAUUUGUCAAUUUUCAUAGGAAAAUGAAUGAAGUCAUGUGUUAGAGCAAAUGUGCCGGUUCUGCUCACCACAAAGAAGAAAAUAGUACUGGGGUGGCACGUGACCAUUUAAAUUCUGUCACAUUGUUCACUGGUACACAGGGUGUUGCCAGUGCUUAUAUUUAUUAUUUACUAUGUUUUAUUAUAUUUAUUAUUAACUGUGUCUUACUCCAUAAGGCUAAAACCUCUGAUUAUUACGAAAAUUCUGAUAUGAAGGGGAGGAUAAGUGUAGAGAUGAUUACAACCGGAAGUAACGUUAGAAAUGGCAGAUACUGACCGUGAGUACGGGAUGAAUUGUGCAAUGAUGCAGAUGAUUAUAACGGGUCGAGAGCAAAUCAUAAAGUGAGUUGAGAAGAAAUGAGACAAGUUGGGACCAUUACCGUAAGCCAGUUUGCUUAAAUAUUUCCUCACUAGAUGCACACCUAUGGGUUACUUGGAUUUUUUCACGUUGGGGUUUUAUGAACUAGCGGACUUAGCAACAGCCUUUCCUCCCAGACCUAACCUGAUGGUAAUAGAGGAGCUUCUGUGCCCUGAUAGGAAUGAGUGCAGUGUUUCUAUGGGAGCAUAAUAGAGGGAUUCUUAUCCGGUUGGGUGGCAUGGGCCCAGGGAGACAUUCUGCAGGAGCUGUUGCUGAGAAUUGAGUGAGUGAGCGAGGGCUAGGCAGGGAAGGGAGAAGGGAGGGCAGGCUCAUCCAGGCAGACGCAGCAGUAGGUGCGAGGGCAAGGGGCGAUAGGAGCUGGGGGUGUCGGAGGUAUCAGUGGGGUCGGAAGAGAGGGCGCGAGGACAUGAAUUUCCCCGUGUCUUCGGUAGGUAGUUCGUCCACAGACUGCAGUCCCCUUGCAGUCUGUACCAUUGUUCUUGACGUUGCCAUAAUGGUGAUGGUGAUUGGAUUAUCCUGCCACUCAAGGAACAUGGCCCCCUGGCAGGGGGAGUAGUGACAAGUCUCUGUUCAUCAAAGAAGAGUAAGAGAGAACAAAGAAAACCUGUAUUUGCUUUUGUUGUAUAUAUGUAGUUGAGCUGUCUUCUAGCAGAAUUCCUUGUUUGUUUUCAGCUGUCUUUAUCCUUGAAGAGGCUUUCUCUCUACUUGGAAUCACAGUUUGAGUGCUGCAUGGAAAACAACUUGAACCUGAUGUUCCCUUACAUUAUAUUUAAAUUUAUGUGAAGCACUUUCGACCUUGCAGGCAUGCAUUUCGCUCUUGCUUGGAAUGCUGUAACAACGAUGUUUUGAUGUUUUGUCCGUCAGAGGCGUUCCAAAAAUUUUAUGAAUGUUAACGUGCUUAAUCUCCCAGUAUUCCAGGGUAGGUGGCAGGUAGGCAGGUGAUUUUUUUUUUUUUUUUACGUAUCUUGUGUGUUAGCACAUUUCGAUUGUUAAUGCCUCUUAAGGAGAAAGUUUCUCCUUUGAAGCUGAAAUAUCCUAUGCUUUGAAUUCACUCAAAAGAAAAAUUACUCCAGAAAGCUUGAACCAAACCUGGUUAGAUGCUUCUGAGUUAUGCGAGAGGGAUUGAAAUAAACUUUUUUAGCUAAAAAUAAUGUUGCUCCCAAGUUACCAAAAAUGGCUGACUAAAAUGCUUUUAAGAUCCUGUGUAAGCCACCAUAAGCUGAAGGUCAAGAAAAAGUUUAGAACAUGUCUUGAGAAACGAUUGGCUGUAUUUUGCCAAAGCUUUUGCCAAGCUUCUUAUUCCAUAAUUAUCUCAUGGGACAAAAGCUGGUGGAAAGUGUUAUGCCUUAGAUUCGGUAGGGUUCUAGAGACUCUUUAAGUAUGCCGCCUGUUUCUUCCGACAGUAACCUUGUACCUGUGGAAGGCAUUAGGGUAGGUGAAAACCGGACAUUGAAUUCUAAAGAUAUUGUACAGCUGCUUAUGCUGAUUAAUUAUUUAAAGCCCUUGUCUCCUGUCACAGAGCAGUUUUGCUCUCGGACAACAUUGGCCAUCUUUCAGAGAGAGCCAAGUGUUGGGUCGUUAGCGUGUGGAAUCGCCACCAGCAUUAGCCUUGUUUAAUUCUAAAACCUCACUGUGCUUUAAUGAUUACCCAGAGGACCCCUCUGCGGCACCCCUCUGCCGUUGGUGGGGACAGCUUGAGGAACUGGAGAGGCAUGUUGACUUUCCUCCUUGGCGUUGCUUAGAAUUGUAGAAUAUUGGGGCGCCUGGGUGGCUCAUCCGGUUAAACGACCGACUCUUGAUUUCGGCUCAGGUCAUGAUCUCAUGGUUGUGAGAUCGAGCCCCAGGUCGGGCCCUGUGCUGAGCUUGCAGCCUGCUUAAGAUUUUCUCCCUCUCUCUCUGCCCCUCCCCUGCGUGCAUGCUCGCUCUCAAAAAAAAAAAAAAAAAAAAAAAAAAAAAAAAAAAAAAAAAUUGUAGAAUAAAAUCUUGAAUUAGAAUGAAAUUUAGAGGUUUUUUUUUUCAUAAAAAUUAUUUUUUUUUUGGUAGAGCCAAUAUAAAGUCAUGACUUUUUCCUUCCUAAAUAGCACACCUAUUUAUUGAGCACUAGAUGUGUAUGAGAGUAUGAGAAGGCUAGGUAACUAAGCUCAUGUCCAAAGACCUCCUUCCUUUUGUUGGGGAAGAAUGGUAGCCUGCAGGCAGCGUGUUGUUUACACUUUGAGGAGAGUAGAGAAAUUUUAGAAGUAGCUGUUCCCGUGUAGUAAGAACUCAUCAACAAUUAGAAUAAAAGGAUCAUAUGGCUCAGUUAAGUGCCAGCUUGGAUUGAGGUGGUCCUAUGGCUUCUUAACUUUAUCGAACCACGCCCAAAAGCCCACAAGGGUAGCCAAGUGCGAAUUACCCUGGGUGGGGCCCAGGGAAGCUGGAACAAACAGGUUCUAGCGCAGUAAAGGGUCGAGAAGACGAAGGACAAAGGACGGGCUUGUGAUACAAAUUUGAGAUCCUGCUGUUAGAAGAGAUUGGGUAGUGAGGAUUCCUAAGGAAUAGUUAUCAGAUGGAUGAUUUUGGUGGAGAAAAGCCCGCCGGAAAUAAAUAGGUCGAAGUUGGAAGCUUUGGGAGGGUCGUCAGCUCGAGUACUGACAUCGUUGAGGACUAAACCGGUGGACUCAUUGGGCAGAUUGAGAGAAAGUCAUGGCAGUGGAGAAAGUGGAGAGAAUGAUAUAUAAGGAUUAACUUGGCUGUUCUUAACCGGGGGGGAUGUUUUGCCCAUCACGCAACAUUUGGUGACGUCUGGAGACGUUUUUGAUUUUUGUAGCUGUGGAGGUGCUGCUGGCUCUGGUGGGUAGAGGCCGGGGGGUGCUGCUUCAACACCCUAAAACGCAUAGGGCAGCCCCUCAUGAAGAAUGAUCCAAUCCAAGAUGUCAGUACAGUGAUUCAAUCCGAGGUUGAGAUGCCCUGGAUUGUUUUCUCCUCCCUUCCAUUCUGCUCUGUAGAAUUCUGCACAUCUGUUCGUUCUUUUGUUCGGUGAUCAUUUAUGGAGCUCCACCAAUGUGCCAGGCACCGUGCUAGAUAGGCAUUAGGGACAUCAAGAUUGGUUAGACAUCACCUCCUUUUUAAAGUUUAUUUCAAAUUAUAAAUUAAUACACGGAUAUAUUCUUAUAAGUAAAAAAAAAAUCAGGAACAAACACGUAAAGCCAGUGGUGACUUUGACUACCACCUUCAGUCUCUGUUCCUUCUCCAGAGGUACCCAGAGCUGUUAGUUUGGUAUGUGUAGUCGAUUAUUAGGUCACUUCCCCUGCAUCCAUUUUCUUUCCUUGUCUUAUAUGCCAUGCCAAGAAGUUUACUUUCGAACGUUUGUACUAGGCUGCACCUUUCUUAAGAUGGGGACCAGGUGUUAGGUUUCUCUUUUUGACUUCUCAUUAUAAUAUAUGUGGUAUGUAAAAAUAUACAUAAAUAUAAAUAUAAAUAUAAAUAUAAAUAUAAAUAUAAAUAUAAAUAUAAAUGUAAAUAUAUAUAUGUGGUAUACAAUAAAUGAUGAGUAAAGAAUGAAAUGAAUUGAUAGAAAAGCAGCAGUGGGGAGAGCAAAGAGAAUGCCAAGUCCUAGUAAUGGCCUUUCAUAGGCUUUGGAAGGCUGUGGGGUAUGUUUAUGGGGAAAAUGAAUUUAUGUUAGGAUAUAGAAAUACUGAAAGAGUGAGGAAAAAUUCAAAGCUGUACAGGUAUGAAAGGGUUUGCUGGGGGCCCAGGUGCUGAGCUGCUACAUAGGCAAAGGGGUUGAGAAGGACCAGAGAGCUUCGUUGUAUAGGGUUCAAGGGUCAAGGAGGGGUAGUAGGGCACCGGUCUUCUGAAGGUUAUUGCAAGUUAGCAGUGAAGAAGAACUUCCCAGUGUAGGAGCUUUUCAUAGAACCGGAAGAGUCCAGAAGUUCCUUUUGGAGUGUGAUGUGAUAGAAGCCUUCGUAGUUCUGUUACGUUCUAAAGGAAUUCUGCUUGUGCACGUGCUUAGAGAUACAUACCUCUUUAUAUACCUAAAGGCCCUUCUUUGUUUUUCACUGAACAGAAUGUCUUCGGGAACAUUUUGUCUCAGUUUAUGCAGAUCAACCUCAUUCUUUUGAAAUGACCACAUAGUAUUCCAUAGAAAGUUUUUUUUUUUUUUUUUUUUUUUAAAUCAUGAUUUGUUUAAACAUUCCUAUUGCUAGACAUUUAGGUUGUUCUCAGCGUUCUGCUACUAUAAGUGGUGCUGCUUGUGGCUGUGUCCUUGUGCACGUAGGUAAGUCCGUGAGGAUAGAUUCUGAGAAGUGGCAUUGUCGGUUUCUACGGGCAUGGACAUUGACAUUUUUGAUAGGUAUUGCCAGGCAGCCUCCAAAAUUGUACACUGCCGUGAACAGCAAAGAUGCGAUUCGUGAGUAUAAGAUGACUUUUUCCUGUCGUUUUGGCAAAUGUGUUUCCAUGCUUUGAUUUUUAACAGUCUAAGUGAGAAACGGUACCUUGGUCUUUUGUAUUUUUGUAAUAUAAAGUGAUCUUUUUUUUUUUCAUAUGUCUAAAAUUCAUUUGUAUUCUUUGUCAUCAACUCAGGUUUGAAACAGGUUUUGUUUUUUUUUAAUUGGCAAGAACUUUUAUAAAUUAAGGAAAUUAGCUCUGUCAUUCAUGUUGCAAAAAUUUCCCCGACAGUUUGUCAUUUGUCCUUUGAAUUUAUUUAUAGCAUAGAAGGAUGUGUAUGUGUUUGUAUAUAUUUUGGAAUAUAACUGAGUAUAUAAGGAAUUAAUUUCAAGUUUUUGGAUCUUGGGUUUUUUUUUUUUUUUUUGGUCUUGUUUUUUUCUGGGAAAGACCGUCUCCACUCGGAGAUUUAAAAAUAACUUUCUGUGCUUUCUUUUAGUACUUUAAUUGGAAAAACCUGGAUUUUAGUUUCAUUUCUGUCGUCUGUUGGUUUUGUGACAUUGGGCAAGUUGAGUAAUCUCUCAGAGCCUCAAUUUCCUAAACUGGAAGGAUUAGAGCAGAUGAUUUGUACCAUUGUAAGGAACUUUCAAUUAUAAAAUGUCUUGUUUGCUUUUCAGUGAAAUUUGCUUUUGUUUUGUGCGGGGACCUGAAGUUGGGGGCAGGGUCAGGGAAGGAGGUAAAGAGACAUGGAAGGAAGACAGACACAUGCACAGAGGGCGGAGACAGAAACCAGGACUGUGAACAAAAUCCAAAACCGCCCCAGAGAAGAUGGAGGGAAAACAAAGGAAAACAGACACAAGGAAGGUAGAUACUGAGACCCCAAGUGGGAAUCAUUUUUCAUAUCAUAGGAGGUAAAACACAUGUUGGGUCCCUUUGUUCAUUCCCUCUCCCUCUUUUCCUCCCCCCCCCUUCCCUCCCUCCGUUUUCCUUCCUUCUUAGAAUAAAAAAGUUAAGUGUAAUACAGAGGUUGUGAAUUAGCACAGAUUGUCAAGUGCAAAAGUUAAAGCUUCAGAGUCUUCCUCAGUGUGUAUGUACAUAGUACUUAAAGCCAAGUGCUUUGAACUCCUCGGACACAGUGUGUUGGAAUUGUUAUUACAAUAUUGAUUUAUCUAUUGCCUGGCAGUCCCUUUCCAGGUUUAAAAUUCUGUGUUUGAAUGUAGUGUACAUGUUUUAGUAUUUCUGUAAGAACUGUAUCUUCUGCAUUUCCUGCUUUUGGAUAUUAAAUCUGUAAAGUUAAUGAUGGCUUCCUACGUGUUUUGUAUUUUCACGUCUAAGACUGAAGUUCUCCCCAUAGAUUAUGCCUUUAAGAAGCCUAGCUUCAGUCUUUGGACACCUGUCUUCCGUGAAAAUUUGGGCUGAGAUAUUCCACUGCUUCCCUGUUAGUCUCCCUGUCUGCUAAGCAUGGGUAAUAGUACUCAUCCAGCAAUGUGUAGUUAAUGAAAAUUCUUACGUGACCAGACCCUCUAAAGUCUAAUGUUCAGUUAUUUCCAUUGCUUAUUAAAAAAUUUUUUUUAAGUAUUUAUUUAUUUUUGAAACAGAGAGAGCACAAGUGGGGGUGGGGCAGAGAGAGAGGGAGACACAGAAUCCGAAGCAGGCUCUGAACUGUCAGCACAGAUCCCGACGUGGGGCUCGAACCUGAGAACCAUGAGAUCAUGACCUGAGCCAAAGUCAGAUGCUCAACCGACUGAGCCACCCAGGUACCCCAUCCAUUGCUUAUUUUUUAAAAGUCAAUUUGUAUAUUGUCCUUAGACCCCAAUUUAUGAUUCUUUCUUGUUGCCUGGUUUGGGGGGAAAAAAAACCUUAAAGAAAAUUGUAUGCUUACCACCUUGGCCAUAUGUGAAUUGAAUACACUCUGACCUUUUAGCUGGUGGUAAUUUCCUCUCACAAACUCUUUGUUGCCUUUUUAACCUCACGGACCCCCUGCCCCUCCGAAUGGGCCUGGGACAUUAUUAUCUGCUGGCUUCCCCAAGUUGCCCUUCAAAACAGACGGCCGGACUUCUUGAAAUCCUUGCUGGUUAUCAUGGCAGCGGCUGCCACUGUGGGCUGAUUGGAAAGGAAGUCAUUGCGGUUGUCAGAAACACGGUCUGGAGGAGACGGGGCUGAAAGUGCAAGUACGUGGCUUUGGCUUAAUGGCUCCAAGACUGGCUGUUGUGAGCAGUUGCCGGGGCCUCGGAUGUCCUCUUGUCCUAAGACUUGAUAAAAACUUUCUCCUCCACUUCUGGAGGAUGGCUUCCUUUGGAGAGACUCAACCUUUGCUGCUUCCUCACCGUGCGCAUUUUAGAUGCAGUCCCUCGUCUCAUCCCUGCCCUCCUUUUACCUAAAGUAAAACCUAACCGAGAGGUGGUGUUUGAGGUUUCACUCUGCGUGCGGCAGUGUGGGCAGGAAGAGGAAGGUCCAGGGGGUGACCUGCGAAGGCCUUUGAUUUGGUUGGGUCGAUGGCGUAUAAACUGAGUUAAGUAACAGUCUAAGUUGAUGAGGUAAAACAUAGUAAAGGGUCAUAAACCUUGCUAAUUCGCUGGUGAGAAAGAUCGUAUUUAGUACAGGAGUGCCCACAGUUGUUUUGCUGGGUUUGCUGGGCACUUGGUGGAAAGGUGAGACAUAAAAGGUGAAAAAAUAAAAGGGAUCCAGAACGUAAGCUCUGGCGAUUGAAAAAGUUUUUAUGUGUGACUUUUACAAGUUGUCAUUAAUUAUUGUAAUCAUAAGCCUGGGAGGCUAAGGGAAACUUUCCUCCGGCCGUGGAAGCUGACUCAGACUUUCCUCUGGGCUCCCUCCCCAUCUCAGGAUCUCCUGCCUCUGGCUUUGGAAAUAAGUUGCAGGAGGUCCUGUGUGUGAUGUAAUAUAGCAAAUACUUAAAUUCCGUGUCAGAAAUAACUAAAGUUCUGCAUUGGAAAACAGCACUGGAGAGAAGGGAGUGAAUGGAGAGAUGUUGAAUCUUGGUCUCUCGUGGAACAGCGUCACUGAUGGCAGGUGUCGCACCGUGCGGAGUCCUCGUGUAGGAAGGUUACCUGCUGUCACGCUGCUCAUUUUAGGACAUUCAGCGGGACCAGGCGUCAGCCACCUUUUUCCUUCAGGACCUCAAGACUGAUGUGUGAAGACGGACACAGUUUCGGCCAGUAGGAAAGUGGAGUAGGAAUCUGCAGGCUGGUCGCCUUCUGAUCAUGCCGAGAAACACCCUUCUGGCCUGUCGUCCUGUUUCCAUAAGAGACAGUGUUACGGCGUCAUCGUCGUCGUCGUCAUCAUCAUCAUCAUCAUGCGUGGAAUGGGAGUGGAGCUCCUCUUGCCCUGGGACUAUGUCUGUGCUACAUUUCAGCAGCCUCCUGUUUCCUGGUGAUUUUUUUUUUUUGAAGAGUUCUGUUCAAGUCAGAGGUGUCUGCCUUUCCAGCUACUCUUUAAUAGUUUCUUCCUUACUUGGGGUGGGGGGGUUCCCGUUAGCUCACGCCGCGGGAGACACACGGUGGGAGAGGGAUCCCACCCCGGGUAAUCGUCUCUGGGGGGCUUCAGUGGUGAGCCCGUGGUUGCUGCCUUCACUGGGAGAAGAACUUUUAAGUAAGAAGGGAGAAGAAACUUCUUGUUCGGGCGGCAAAAUGAAAACCAGCUUUUCUGAGGCCAGAUUGGGAUCGUGUGUAAUCAACUAUGAAUUCAUCCUCUUUUUCCUCCCCUCCCCGCCCCCCUGUUUGCAGUUGAUCUCACGACAGCUGUUUCCAGCUGUCCUCUGGAUUUUGCCCAGGCCCCUUGGGAUGGAUGGCUGCAUGACUCACACGACUGGCUUGUUUCCACAGCGGUUCACAUCUAGCUUCUCAAGAAGUAGGAGCGAGAGGAGAGAGAGGGGGACUCUGGUGGCCCCGGAGUAGAUGUUCCUGUGGAGAUUACGGUCGGCUGACCGCUCUGGUUUCGAUUGGUCCCCCUUCACGGCAGCGAGCUGAGAAGAGGACAUUGCUGGGGGAGGGGAGGCCAGUGUGUUAGCUGGAGAAGUGGUUUUGGAGAAAGCCAGAUGUUUUUGUUUUGUUUUGUUUUGAUUUUUUUCCUUUUUUUUUAUUAAUUUUUUUUUUUUAAAUUUACAUCCAAAUUAGCAUCUAGUGCAACAGUGAUUUCAGGAGUCGAUUCCUUAGUGCCCCUUCCCCAUGUAGCCCCUCCCCCCUCCCAGCACCCCUGCGGUAACCCUGUGUUUGUUCUCCGUGUUUAAGAGUCUCUUCUGUGUUGUCCCCUUCCCUGUUUUUAUAUUAUUUUUGUUUCCCUUCUCUUACGUUCAUCUGUUUUGUCUCUUAAAGUCCCCAUAGGAGUGAAGUCAUACGGUAUUUGUCUUUCUCUGACUAAUUUCACUUAGCAUAAUACCCUCCAGUCCCAUCCACGUAGUUGCAAAUGGCAAGAUUUCAUUCUUUCGGAUUGCCGAGUAAUACCCCAUUGUCUCUAUAUACCACAUCUUCUUUAUCCAUUCAUCCAUCCAUGGACGUUUGAAGCCAAAUGUUCUUUUACUUUUUUUUCUUUUUCCCCUUCCAGAUCUGCUUCAGAGCAAACUGCAACUUUCCUUUUCAGUGGGACGUAGGGCUGUGUGUGAGAUGGGUGGCUGAGUGAGAGCUGAGGGAAGUGUCGGCUAAAAAUGCAGGUGAUGCCAGGGGUGCCUGGGUGGCUCAGUCGGUUAAGCGUCUUGGGUCAUGAUCUCACGGUUUGUGAGUUUGAGCCCCUCGUUGGGCUCUGUGCUGACAGCUCAGAGCCUGGAGCCUGUUCGGAUUCUGGGUCUUCAUCUGUCUCUGCCCCUCCCCUGCUCGCUCGUGUGUGCUCUCUCUCUCUCUCUCUCUUUCAAAAGUAAAUAAACAUUAAAAAAAUAAAAAAAAAAAAUUUAGGUGAUGUUCUCCGUACUCCAGCUGAUUCUUGGUAGGAGGUGUGUUCCUUUCUCUUCAAAGCGGUCCCUCCCUUUCCCAACAGUAAGCACUGUCCUUGCCCCCCCUCCUUCCUUCCAUGAAGGCCACUCCUUCCCAGCGUGGGAACCUAUACAGUGAUACAGCUCGGUAAAGAAAAUUUUAAAAAUUCUUUAGGUAUUUGAAAAAUUCUUCACUUUGAUCUCUUUGAGCUCGACACUCACAUUUCUUAAAGGGUAGCAAGCUGCAGAAAAAAAUUCUCUAGACCUGCUCUGAUACAGGAGCCAUUAGCCACUUGUGGCUGUUGUGGUCUUGAAACAUGGCUCGUCCAAACUGAGAUGCUCUGUGAGUGUAAAACACUAGAUUUUAUUUGCUUAUUGUUUAUGUAUUUGUGUAUUUAUUUAUUAAAGUUUAUUUGUUUUGAGAGAGACAGAAGCAUUGCAAGCGGGGAAGGGGCAGAGAGAGGGAGAGAGAGAAUCCCAAGCAGGCACCUGACGUGAGACUCGAACUCACGAAACCGUGAGAUCAUGCCUGAACCGAAGGCAAGAGUCGGACGCUCAACCAACGGAGCCGCCCAGGCACCCCCUCAAAUACCCACUAGAUUUUAAAGACCAGUGCAAAAAAAUUUCAUUGAAAAUUUACAAAUCAUUGACUAUUGUUGAAAUAUUGACAUGUUGAAACGCUAAUAUUUUGGAUGUGUUGGAUUCCCUAAAUUAUAUUAAAAUUUACCACACCUGGUUUCUUUUUUAAAUGCUGUUAACUAGAAAAUUUUAAGUAAAUGGCCCAUAUUUCUUGCUGUCAUUAUAUUUCUGCUCUAAACAGAAGUUACUGAACAACUGGUGUGCUCCUCUCUGGUAGUGUCCGUUUUCCAGAAGCCAAGUGAUAGUUUGGGACUCACAAGCUGAUGUACUACAACAUGCCCUCUGUAAUAGUUGUCUUUUGCCCCAGAACAUAUUACCCCUACACUUACUGACUUGAAACAACACACCUUUAUUAUGUCACAGUUUCUGGGGGUCGUAAAUCUGAGAGCAACUAAGCUGUGCGGUUCAGGCUUAGGAUCCCUCAUGAAGUUUCAGUCAGGCAGUUGCUGGUGUCGCACUCAUCUGAAGUCUGAACCGGGGCCGGAGGAUUCCAAGAUGGUUCGUUUCACGGCUCUUGGCAUGUUGUCAGUUCCCCGCUGGCUUUAGUUCCUUCCAACACGGACUUCUCCUUAGGCUUCUUGAGUGUCUUCCCUACCUUAUGUUGACCUCCCCCCUAGAGUGAGUGAUCAAGUGAGAGAUCGAGUAAGGGAGAGAGCAGGUGAAGGGGGGAGUUACAGUGCUUUUAAUGACCUAGUGCCUGCAGGAUACGUUAUCAUUUCUGCUUUAUUUUAUUUGUUAGAAGCAAGUGUCUGAGUCUAAUUCCUCCUCUCCAGUUUUUAAAUUUAUUUUUAUUUUUAUUUUAUUUUAUUUUUUUUUAGGCUUCACUUCUUGAAGGGAGUAGUAUAUAGUACAUAGGAAUUUGUGGACAUAUUUUGAAACUGCUACACUUUCUGUUUGUCUGCUGUUUUCCCCUGCUAGUGUACCUGGGUUUCACUGACCGCCUCUGAAAAUGGUCGGAGUUCAGUGGCUGAAGUCCAUUUUACCCUCACCUGCUACCUCAGCAGUGUUGCUUGGAACAGUUUUACCCAUUUUGAGACUGCCAACUCUGACCUGUGAUCAAAAUUGUCUUCUUUUGGUCGGGCAACGGGGAGGCCAGGAUGAAUUCAGCUUUGCGUGAGCCUUGAAUACUGGUGUGUGCCUCAGUUGAUUUUUAGUAGCUGAAUAAGGCUGGAUAUUCCAUGGUAAAUGUGUUGUUAUUAUGUGGAUAUUAUAUUUCUCUUAAUUAAGAUUCAGAGCACUCAGGAACCAUUCUGUAUCUCAUUCUGCCUCUGGGAGGUUUGAAAGUAAAGCAGGGCCUCAUUCUGUUUUCUGCUCCAAGUGGGGACAUGGAGGUGAGUUCACUGGUGCAGGAGGCUGAGUGAAGGUGUUGUGAGGGGUGGAGAGGUAUGUCUGGCAGAGACAUAAAUGGUGCGCUCCGGUAGCUUAAACCGGAACGUGGGAGCAAAGGUACUGUUAAAUAAGAGUGUGUAAAUAACACGCUGCCGAGUUUCCCAAGAUGGACUCAUCCAUGCCUCCCCUCCCUAUAGCUGUUUUAGUUUUGGCUCAGCCUCACACUUCUGGAGUGUAGACUGACACAGGAGGCAAGACCUACAGGGUAAGUGGCCCAGUGGACGUAAUAAGGGAGGGUCAGUUUUUGUCUGGCCUCCAUCAAAAUGGGGCUUUAGUACAAGGAAACGAGGUAUGUAUGGGAAAGUGGUUGGGUCAGAAUAGGGCUCAAGAUUCAGGACAGCAGGGAUUCAUUUAAAACCACUUGACUUCAGUUUUUUUCUGAUGGCUUGGUAUGAUUUACUCAGGUCCUUCCUAGGGAAUCGAGCGUGAUCUUUUCCAUUUGAGAAGUCUGAAGGCGUAGAUGAAUGGGUUGUAUUAGAAAGUUUGUUGCCUUGGACAGAAAAUCAAAAAUCUGUGGAGUCUGGCUGUCUUCUCAAUCCUUGUUAUCAUUAUCAUAAUCUUGGUACUUAAGUUUAAUUUUGAAUAGUUGCUUUCCUUUGUGUGUGUGUGUGUGUGGGGGGGGGCGGUUUAUCUCUUGUCUCUGUAACCAGGCUUCGUUUUCUUCGCUUUCAUGCUUUUUAUUUCUUUGUGUUCUAAUAAUAACGUCUGCAUUGUAUAUUCAAGAGGAUAUGAACUCAGGCAUGGUGGCGGGACCCACUGGGGCUGGGAGAGGCAUAGAGCGCAGUGGUUGAGAGUUCGGGGUUUAGAGUCCUACCGGCUCUGCUUCUUAGUACAUUGAUAACCUCGGACAAGUUUUCUUAAUUUCUCUGAGGCUAAGUUCCUUCAUCUGUAAAAUGUUAAUGAUAGUUGUUGCCUCAUAGACUUGUGAAAACUAAUGAGAUAUUACAAGUAAGGCAGUUAGCACAGGAGCAGCUACAUAAGUUAGAUUUGUAAAAGUGUAAUUGUCUAGCUUAUUAAUGCUUUUUAUUAGAGGCAUCCAAGUUCUUGAAUCUUGAGCCUCUCAUUACUUAUUUGACGUUAUUUAUUGGUUCACCAGUCACUGAUACCAGAAGCCUAAACCGGGUGUGUGUUCUGAUCAGUGUGAAUCGGUCCACAUCCUGACUGACUCUGCUCAGAGAGUGUUCUUGUCUGCCGGGCAAAAUAGGUGUUCUGGCUUUUUCCUUGCAGGGCCCAAGGGCGCCCCCUCUCUCGAGAGACCAGAGGCUGCCGUUGUUUUCUGUACGGUAGAGCCUGAUUUGGCCUGCAGUUAAGGCUCUCCAGAAGGUCACUUAAACCCGGCUGAUGUGAACUCCUCGCAAAAUGCCCAAGUCCUUCUGCAGCCGUCCAGUUUUCUAUUAAGAAACUACUGGGACUGUUUUUUUUUUAAAGAAACUGCAGCAGGCAAACCAAUCAUUCCUUUCAACUCUGCACUCCUUGGUCAGCAUCCAGGAUGUAAGCAGCUCUGGCCAUCUGUAUAUUCCUGUGACCUCGGGCCUGACUGUGAUUUUUCUCUCCUGACCUGACCUUCCGGCGGCUCCUCCCCUCAUAGACUCUCCCGUUUUUCCUGUUGCAUUCGUAAACAGUCCUCCCCAUCCUCAGCCUUUUCACGGACUCUUACAUCUACUCUUUCCUCUUAACUAAAUCCCAUUUCUUUCCGAGAA